GGUUGAUCCUGCCAGUAGUCAUAUGCUUGUCUUAAAGAUUAAGCCAUGCAUGUCUAAGUAUAAAUAGUAUACAGUGAAACUGCGAAUGGCUCAUUAAAACAGUUAUAGUUUAUUUGAUAAUUGAAUUCUACAUGGAUAACCGUAGUAAUUCUAGAGCUAAUACAUGCUGUAAAACCUGACUUUUUGGAAAGGUUGUAUUUAUUAGAUAUCAAACCAAUAAUCUUUCGGGAUUAUUGUGAUGAUUCAUAAUAACUGAUCGGAUCAAGGAAUACCUUGAUAGAUCAUUCAAGUUU
rnacentral:rRNA from 1 species